rnacentral:rRNA from 1 species
AAGUCGAACGGUAACAGGAAGAAGCUUGCUUCUUUGCUGACGAGUGGCGGACGGGUGAGUAAUGUCUGGGAAACUGCCUGAUGGAGGGGGAUAACUACUGGAAACGGUAGCUAAUACCGCAUAACGUCGCAAGACCAAAGAGGGGGACCUUCGGGCCUCUUGCCAUCGGAUGUGCCCAGAUGGGAUUAGCUAGUAGGUGGGGUAACGGCUCACCUAGGCGACGAUCCCUAGCUGGUCUGAGAGGAUGACCAGCCACACUGGAACUGAGACACGGUCCAGACUCCUACGGGAGGCAGCAGUGGGGAAUAUUGCACAAUGGGCGCAAGCCUGAUGCAGCCAUGCCGCGUGUAUGAAGAAGGCCUUCGGGUUGUAAAGUACUUUCAGCGGGGAGGAAGGGAGUAAAGUUAAUACCUUUGCUCAUUGACGUUACCCGCAGAAGAAGCACCGGCUAACUCCGUGCCAGCAGCCGCGGUAAUACGGAGGGUGCAAGCGUUAAUCGGAAUUACUGGGCGUAAAGCGCACGCAGGCGGUUUGUUAAGUCAGAUGUGAAAUCCCCGGGCUCAACCUGGGAACUGCAUCUGAUACUGGCAAGCUUGAGUCUCGUAGAGGGGGGUAGAAUUCCAGGUGUAGCGGUGAAAUGCGUAGAGAUCUGGAGGAAUACCGGUGGCGAAGGCGGCCCCCUGGACGAAGACUGACGCUCAGGUGCGAAAGCGUGGGGAGCAAACAGGAUUAGAUACCCUGGUAGUCCACGCCGUAAACGAUGUCGACUUGGAGGUUGUGCCCUUGAGGCGUGGCUUCCGGAGCUAACGCGUUAAGUCGACCGCCUGGGGAGUACGGCCGCAAGGUUAAAACUCAAAUGAAUUGACGGGGGCCCGCACAAGCGGUGGAGCAUGUGGUUUAAUUCGAUGCAACGCGAAGAACCUUACCUGGUCUUGACAUCCACGGAAGUUUUCAGAGAUGAGAAUGUGCCUUCGGGAACCGUGAGACAGGUGCUGCAUGGCUGUCGUCAGCUCGUGUUGUGAAAUGUUGGGUUAAGUCCCGCAACGAGCGCAACCCUUAUCCUUUGUUGCCAGCGGUCCGGCCGGGAACUCAAAGGAGACUGCCAGUGAUAAA